CGGGAGAGGAGUGGCUGUGCUUUCCAAGCCGGGCGCCUUCAUCAAUUAAUGCUUUGGGAGAACUCAGAAGCAUUCUGUGUAGUGUCAAAGCUGUGAGAGGAAUGUUAGCACUCAGUGGAAACACAGCAGAAACAUGGACAACCCAGAGAUGGAUGUCAUGACAUUGCAACAGUUAAACACUGAUCAGAAUGGUAUGCUAAUACCAAGUACACAGGUUUGUGCUGAAUGCCUACUUAUCAAGGAAAUCUGUUGGCAGAGGGAUACCCAAGUCACAGCAGUGAUGAAAAGAAGAAAAUGAUCCAAAGCACCGAAAGACAACUGAGUGACUUUUCUAUUCACAAAUUGAUAGACUGAGAAGAAGGAAGGAAUAAAAGAUCUGUCUUGUGAAAUUGAAGAGAGUUCAUAGCUGAAAGCAGAGGAAUCUGUGCUGUGGUCAUCCAGAAACUGCUUACACACAUUACAACUAAUGUAUGGUCUACACACCCAGUGAAAACGUGGAACACCAGAAUAUAAACUCUGCUUAUAAGGCUGAAUAGUCCCAUGUCUCCCAGCCUUUCCUCAUAUGGAAGAUAUUUCAGGCCUCUAAAAAAACUAAGGUAAGGAAAGAAUGGCUUUUGAGAUGGAAAAACAACAACAAAAAGAAAAGGAAAAGGAAAAGAAAAAGGAAAAGGAAAAGAAAAAGAAAAAGAAAAAGAAAAAGAAAAAGAAAAAGAAAAAGAAAAAGAAAAAGAAAAAGAAAAAGAAAAAGAAAAAGAAAAAGAAAAGAAAAAGAAAAAGAAAAAGAAAAAAAAAACAGUCUUUCCCUCAUAAAGUAUUUCAGUUUCCAUAAAUGAAUAUACAUCAGAUGUGUGGAGGUGGGAGGUGGAGGAGGAAGAUUCUUUCAAAACCAUGCUUUAUCUUCCACAGCUUCCAAGGAACAGAUGCAGUAUUUAGUGAAAGGGCACCACAGGUGACCCCUCCUGCUGUGUCAGCCAAAGCAAGAGAAGCCUCUGUCUCUGUCAUGUCACCUGAUGAGUAGGAAGUAUGCAAGCUGAACUCCCAACAAGAUAGAUACUUUCUGUCCUGCUGCUUGUUUUAUGGAAUUUGCUCAUAUAAUUGCCUUUGGUACGCGACUGUUGGGAACUGGAGAAAAAAGGAUAAAGGGGAGUUAGAUGAAAGAAAACUAAUUCUUCAUUAUCCCCUCCUGGAAAACCUACAGCUGGGACCUUAGUCUAUUUGUAUUAAUGCUAACUUCAGUGUCAUGUUGUCUUUGAGCUCUCAUGUCUUAUAUUUUAAAAAUUUUGCUCACUGGAACAAAUAAGUUCAAGUAUACAAAUGUACUUCCCUCCUUUGCAAAUUAAACAUAUUUCUGGUAAUAAGGUGAAAGUUUAAGCAUUAACAUGAGUACUAACAUAAGAAAUAUUUUGCACAGAUAAAGUUACAGAUAUGCAUUCUAAUAUGUGAAAUUUCGUAAGGUAUAAAUCACAGAGAAAAAGUCAAAAUUCAUUUUGCUAAAUGUACUGAGACUGGAUGCCUGUACCUGAGCUAACCACUUUAAGCUCCCUAAUAGCCAAAGAAGAGCAACAGGCACUUCUAGGUCACAAUUUGUCAUUUACUAAAAAAGGCAUCUAAAGUAGGUCAGAUGAAUUGCUCCGAGAAUGGCUGUUAUUCUCUACCAACUAUAAAGGGAGAUCUGGUUGAUUAAUUCACAUUCAAUGUAGAUGUUUAAGGAAAAUAUGAUGAAUCUCAUUCAGUGAAUCCAGAAUGACUAUUAAAGGACCACAAAACAAAAUAAGAACACUUGUUUUCCUGAUAUGUAGAAACUGAGAAAGUUAGGCAGAAGUUAACACUGACUUUAGGUUCCAAACUAAUUUAGGAAUUUUGGAAUAUUUUAAUAUUGUUUAUUUCUGUGUAUUCCUAUUACAUACUACAAACUUCUUAACACUACAUUUUAAUCUUUUGAUCAUAUUUUCUUCCUUUAAGAACAAUGAAAACCUUCCCCAACCUUAGCAGACUUUUAUGAAUAUAAACCUAACAAAGCAAAGCAAUUCACCUUUUUGUCUAUUAAGAAAGUGCUGUACUACCAAUAGCUUGGGAAACAUAACAUUAAAGACUGAUCUGCUUACCGUCAUAACUUGAUUUCAGUGAAAGUGCUCUAUGAAGACUUUAUCAGAUGAACAGAAGAACUUCAAUCAAAAGUGUGUGUCUUGAAUCUUCACUUUUUGUGGAGAAAUAAUACUGUUCAAAUGUAAUUCUCUGUAGCUGUGACUGUUUCAAUACUGAAAAGAUUACUUCAUUAAAGAAACAAUAUGUUCAAAUGUGAAAAUGAAAAGAUAAUGGAAGAAGACUCUCAAUUAAAAAAAUUUUUGAAGUAGAUUCAAAAUCAGUGUGUGUAUCCAAUGAUCAUCUUAAAAAUAGAAUCUAAACAAAAAGAAAAUAAUAAUAAAAUAAAUAAUAAAUAAUAAAUAAUAAAAAUGUAAUAUAUAUAUUUAAGUUAUUUGCUGGAGA
rnacentral:lncRNA from 1 species